AGCUGCUGGAACUGAAAAGGAGCCUGGCUGCCUGCAUUCCCUGAAAAAGGAAGCUCAAGGGGAUGCAGGGAGCUGAAAAUGGUUGCAACUUUUCAGGUACUGGCAGUGUGAAACAAUGGAUAGCAGAGGAAAUAAGGGUCAUGUAAAAAGAAGAGAAGCAGACGGAAAAUGCAUUUUUGGGAGUAGCUGAAUAGCCGUGGAGCACAGGAAAAAUAACAGCCAAGUGAUGGUGCUGCCUUUUUUGUGCCUUAAAUGCUGGAAUGGAAACCUCAGCUGCAAGAAUUUGCUGGAGCACCUCUAAAGAGAAGGUGCAUGCACUGAACAGAAAACAAUAAAUCACAUCGCAAAUGCCCCAUUAUCAAUUUAAGGCAGCAUCUCAUCCAUUAAUAUAGAGUGAAUCCUUUUCUGUUGCAUAACAGUGGAGCAUGUCUUGGAGUCCGCAGAGAAGGAAAAUAGUCCUGUGCAUAGGGAAGAUGUCUGCUGGGAUUUCACUGUCCACUUGAGCUUGAGUUUUCACUCCAAACUUGCAGAGGUCUAGAAAUACACAAGGAUUGUAGUAUUUACUCAAAAUUAGUAUCUACAUGCUGAAAAAAAUACUCCCUAGCCUGGAGCCAAACACUGAGAGGGCCAAGAAGAAUGAAAAAACAAUUUCUCUCUUCUGAUGGUAGUGAAGAGGUGUUCAUGGAGGAACACAUCACAUAGGGAAGUCAGCUACUAGCCAGGCAAAGGAAUGCAAGCACCUUCUAACUUCUCCUUUUAUCAUGUGCUGUGAUGUUAGAAAUACCUAUCCCCAAGUGGAAUACAGCCUGUAAAAAUUCCAGUAGCUGUCACCUAACUGAUAUUUGCCAGUAAUGGACUUGGACAGAAAAAGAAGGUAGGAAAACACCAGUGAAAACUCGGGUCUAAUAUUGCCUUCACUAGAGGGAACUGUGGGAAAUAGGAAAGGUAUGAAACUCUCAGACAGCUAUGUGAAAGCAAAUCUCAGGAUGGAGAAAUGCAAGAAAGUUAAAGAUGCAAGGUCAAGAAACAAUAAAACCAUGAGCUGUGUAGAGACCGACCUCAGGAAAACAUGUUAAGCAAGAUAGUAGAAAUAUGUAAGCUUAAUAAUAAACCUUUAUCCAUUGGUUUUAAGCUAUUACAAGCAAGCAUUGUUCAAAGCAAGAUGUACAUGUAGCUUUAUUAAUUGGCUUAAGCAAACACUUGUCAGCUUUUAACACUACUCUAUUGGCUAAAAAGCUUUUAAAAGACCAUGUAACUAAGAGAACUUUGCUGUUGUAAGCAGCUGAAGCUGU